GACUGACUUACUGACUUACUGACUGAAGGGCGGGCGGGCGCAGACUGACUGACUGACUUACUGACUGAAGGGCGGGCGGGCAGGCGGGCGCAGACUGACGGGUGGGCGGGCGGGUGCAGACUGACUGACCGACGGGCGGGCGGGCGCAGAUUGACUGGCGCCGACUGACGGGCCGACUGACGGGAGGGCGGGUGCAGACUGACGGACGGACGCGCGGGCGGGCGGGCACAGACUGACGGACGGACUGACUGCCGGCCUGACGGCGGGCUGCGCGCGCCCGCGAGGCGCCCGGCCCAGCUCCCCGCACCCCCGCCUUCCGGCGCCCGCUGCCUCCUGCCUCCCCCUCUAGUCGGACCCGCGCGGCCUGGCGAGGACGCCGAGAGAACCUUCGAGAGCUUUCCAGAACCUUCGAGAUUCCCGCGGUGCCCGUGAGGGAGGCGCUUCUGGCCGAGGGCCGGCCAAGCUUGGGGCGCGGAGUGGCGGCGUGUGCCCUCCCGGGCGGACGGUCCCCUGGCCUCGCUUCUUUGCGGAGUCGUCACUGUGACGUCCCUUUUGCCCGACGCGGGGCCACGCACCGCCUGCUUGGUUUCUGGCGCGCCUCCGUCACCUCAGAUGUGCGGGUGGCGCCCCGGGGUCCCUGGUGUCCCCAGGCCGUGCGGCCCCCUGCUCCCGGGGUGGCCUGUGACCGCUGGCCUGACAGGGGGAGGCCGUGCUGGGGGAGGACAGGCACCCCGGGGUGCGCCCCCGUUGUCACCUCGCUGUGGUUCACGUCCGGGAGCCAUCUCGCUGCCCGUGUCGCCGUCUCACGUUAACCAGGACGACCGCGAGCGUCCUCCGCUCUGGUGCCCGGCAGGGUGGCUGGGGGUGGCAGGGCUGCUGGCAUGUGACUGGUGUCCUCUGACCUGUGACUGGCGCCCCGUCAGGUGCCGCGAGAGCAGCUCUGCCACCGGCCCGCAGCAUCCAGCGCCGGGUACGUGUCAGGGGACAGAGGUGACCGUGCGGUGUCCAUCUGGUGGGAGCCGUCGGGCCCCUCGGUGUCCGGCAGUGGAGGCACGGUGGCCACACGAGGACAGAGCCACGUCGCUGCGCGUCCGAGUCCGGAGAGAAGCGUUUCUGAAACCUACCAUCCCAGGCUGACGUGAGAAAAACUUCAGAGCAACCCCAGUGGAAGGGCGUCUUGCCACACUCCAGCCCGGUCCCCCUCACACCGGCCCAGGGCAUCAGGAGCGUCUGAGGAUGUCCCAGCCCAGAGGGGCCAGGAGACAGGACACCUGAGUGUCACCUGGGGUCCUGGGACAGAGGACAUCAGGGGAGACUGAGGAUGCUGGACACAGUAUGGACUUUAGUCAACAAGGACACGUCGAUUGUGGUCAUCAGCGGGGACACACGAGACAGGCCUGCAUAAGACACCAACCACGGGGGACCCGAGCUUGGGGCACGCGGGAACCCUCCGUGCCAGCUUUCCACCUUCGCUGUGAAUCUAACACUGUUCCAAAAAGCAAACUCCACUAAUAAUAGUAAUCGUAACAAUAAAAGAGCCAGAA
rnacentral:lncRNA from 1 species